CUUACAGCACGGUCUGUGGUGACCAUCAGUUGAGCGACCAUGGGCAAUGGAGAAGAACUUGUUGCCAUGGAUGUGCUAGGAGGUUCCUCUCCGUUACUCGCAGCCAUCAUCACCAGUACUCACUACAGGUACAAGCUGUGUAUUUCCCCAUCCAGCAUGGCCUAGCGAGUGGUGGCGAUGGCGCAGCAACAUGACCAUUCAACCGGUGGCAGCGGCGGCGACCACUGGCGAGCACGUUGGAGGCGAGACGGCGACCGCGGGCUAGCGCGGCGGCGGCGACCGCAGGCCGACGCGCAGGAGGCGAGGCGGCGAAGACCUCUGGCCGGUGCGCAGGAGGCGAGACGGCGACGGCGGUCCAGCGCGGCGGCGGUGACCGCUGGCCGACGUGCAGGAGGCGAGGCGGCGACCGCGGGCCUGUGCGGCGGCAAGGAGUGCUGGCCGGUGCGCAGGAGGCGAGACGGCGACCGCGGGCCAGCGUGGCGGCAGCGACCACUGGCCGGCACGAAGGGAGGCGCGGCGGCGACCGCAGGCCAGUGUGGUCCGGCGCGAAGGGGAGCUCAGGGACGACCACAGGUGGUGCUGCUGGACUUUGUGAUGCUAGCUAACAUUGUGUUGAAAUUCAGUGAGAUCUCUUUUUUCAAAGUAUGUUGAAAUUUUGUGAAAUGAAAUCUUGUCUAAUCAUUGCUGAAAUCAUGUUGGAAUCCUGUUGAAAUUUUGUGAUAUUUGUUAAGCUAUUGCUGAAAUAUAGUCAAACUUUUUAUAAAUUCCAAGUAUAGCAAAGUUCACUUCGAAACAUUUGUAAAGUUCCGUUCAAAGCUGAACUCAAAACGGGUAAAUACACAAGUGAACACAUAUUU